AGCCACAGCCAUAUCACCCUGCAGCCCAAGACCGGUUACUCACUGAAGCUAAGCAGGGCUGAAACUGGUCAGUACUUGGAUGGGAGACCACUAGGGAACACUAGGUUGCUGUUGGAA
rfam:Danio rerio chromosome 17, GRCz11 reference primary assembly.